ACAAUUCCUUAUUAAAGACAAAUGCUAGAAGUAGCAAACAUUAUGAGUCAUUCAUUCCCUCCAUUCCCUUUCUUGUCUUUUCUCCCUUUACUAAAUAUUCUCCUCUUGCAAUUAUAAAGUCUCUCUUACAAUGAGAGGCUAAACCCCAUUUGCUGGGAUUUGACAGCCAACUACUAUUGAUAUACUCCAAUUUUGUGAAUUAAUGUUAAUAUCACUUUAGUUUCAAGCCAAAAGAAGAGAAGGUCUAGCAGUUGGUGUCUUGCUAAGCGAGGCAUAUGCGCUUAGCGAGUGAUAUCCGCUAAGCAAGGUACUCAGCUUGCUUAACACAUUGGGGAAUCCUAGAAGAAGAUCAGUCUUAGAUGCCCACGCCCAGUGCACCAUCAGUUCGCCCAGCGAGUCAUUUGUCCCUUCUCGCGCUUAGCGCGCCCAGCUCGUUAAGCCAAAAUUCACUUACUCUUGCUUAGCGAGCCAAUCUCGCUAAGCGAGCCUUCAGAAGCUGAAAUAUCCAAGUAGCCUUUAAAACACUGAAGUUGACGAAAAUCAAAAGAGGAGUCAAAAAAUAGAGCCAAAGGAGAAGCUAGAGCGACAGAAAUGAAGCCACCAAGAGAGUUUAGGUUAUAUGAGUGAGAUUAGGGUUCUAGAGGUUGAAGGAGACAUUCUUAACCCUUCUUUGCCAUUUUUCUUCACUCAAAAUUUGUUCUUCUUUGUAUUAAAAGCUCAUUACUUGUAAUGGAAAGCUAAACCUCUUGGUUGGGGAGUUCUGCUGAACCUUUGAUGUAAUAUUCUUUUACUAUCUAUUUAAUGUUAUUUUUAUGUGUUCAUUGCUUCUA